GGAAGAACAAGGGGAGCCUUCUCUUCCAGAAGAGCCUGAGGAAGGCAGCUGGCAUUUGGGAGGAGCAAGUCUAAAUUUGAGUCACUUAGAAAAUGAGGACCUGUUGGAUGUCUGGCAGGAGACGAAUCUGGAUGUUGAGAGCUAUACAUCCAAUUCACAUGGAAACAUAACAGAAAAAGGUGGUCAUUUAACACCAGCAUAAGACUGGAGGAGAAAUUCAGCCAAAAAAGACCCCAAAACCCUGAGGCCACCAAAAGCAACCAUGGAUGACAGUUCUUGCCACAAUUUAAAUGUUUCAAGUUUGAUGCAAGCUAAGUGCUCUUUAGACAUUUUAUAUUGAAACAAAAUGUAGUGGUGGUAUUUGUAAUGAAACGAAACAAAUAUAGGUGCAGCCUGCAUUUCUUCAGCCCCAGCUUUGAAGCUCAGGAAGAAGGGGUUUCAGUUCAAAUAAGGUUGCCAACUUUCUACUUGCGGGGGGGAGCACCCCUGCCCCUUCUCCAAGGCCUUUCCCUUACUCCAUCCCCCCACUCCUUCUGUUGCUCACUCUCCCCACAUUCACUUACUCAUUUU